AUCACCUAGAGAUCUUAUUAAAAUGCAGAUUCUGACUCAGUAGGUCUGAACUGAGGCCUGAGGGCUGAGAUUCAGCAUUUCUAAUAAGCUCCCAACUGAUGUCAG
rnacentral:pre_miRNA from 1 species